rnacentral:rRNA from 1 species
GGUUAAGCGACUAAGCGUACACGGUGGAUGCCCUGGCAGUCAGAGGCGAUGAAGGACGUGCUAAUCUGCGAUAAGCGUCGGUAAGGUGAUAUGAACCGUUAUAACCGGCGAUUUCCGAAUGGGGAAACCCAGUGUGAUUCGUCACACUAUCAUUAACUGAAUCCAUAGGUUAAUGAGGCGAACCGGGGGAACUGAAACAUCUAAGUACCCCGAGGAAAAGAAAUCAACCGAGAUUCCCCCAGUAGCGGCGAGCGAACGGGGAGCAGCCCAGAGCCUGAAUCAGUGUGUGUGUUAGUGGAAGCGUCUGGAAAGGCGUGCGAUACAGGGUGACAGCCCCGUACACAAAAAUGCACAUACUGUGAGCUCGAUGAGUAGGGCGGGACACGUGGUAUCCUGUCUGAAUAUGGGGGGACCAUCCUCCAAGGCUAAAUACUCCUGACUGACCGAUAGUGAACCAGUACCGUGAGGGAAAGGCGAAAAGAACCCCGGCGAGGGGAGUGAAAAAGAACCUGAAACCGUGUACGUACAAGCAGUGGGAGCACGCUUAGGCGUGUGACUGCGUACCUUUUGUAUAAUGGGUCAGCGACUUAUAUUCUGUAGCAA